rnacentral:lncRNA from 1 species
AGAGUUUAGGAUUUGGUUAGGAUUUGAUUUAGGAUGAGGAUUUGAUUAGGAUUUGAUUUAGAAUUUAGGAUUUGGUUAGGUUUUGAUUUAGGAUUUAGGAUUCAUUUAGGUUUUGAUUUAGGAUUUAGGAUUUGAUUAGGAUUUGAUUAGAAUUUAAUUUAGGAUUAGGAUUUAAUUAAGAGUUGAUUUAGGAAUUAAGAUUUAUUUAGGAUUUAUUUAAAAUUUAAGAUUUAGUUAUUUUUGGCCUAAAUUUUGAUUGAGGUCCAAUAGGAUUUUAACUAGGAUUAAAUUAAGAUUGGAUUGAGAUUUAUUUGAGAUAUAUUUGUGAUCAUUCUAAUAUUUUUUUAAGAUUUUUUAUUAUUUCUUUGUAAUUCUUUUAAGAUUUAUUUGAAUUGAUUAAAGCUUGCUUAGUAUUAUUAUGGUUUAAUUAGAGUUUAAUUAGUAUUCUAUUAGAGUUACGAUUUUGUUGUUGCAAUUUCCAUUCUUUCUUCCACAGCUAGGUGCUUGGAGCAUUCUAAAGCAAGACUUCAUAUAAUAUAAUAGCGGUGGCUAUUAGCAGAUACAUAUU